rnacentral:tRNA from 1 species
GCCGGGUUGGCGGAAUUGGUAGACGCGGCGCACUCAAAAUGCGCUGUCCGUGAGGACGUGCGGGUUCGAGUCCCGCACCCGGUA